GAUGAACGCUGGCGGCGUGCCUAAUACAUGCAAGUCGAGCGAACGGACGAGAAGCUUGCUUCUCUGAUGUUAGCGGCGGACGGGUGAGUAACACGUGGAUAACCUACCUAUAAGACUGGGAUAACUUCGGGUAACCGGAGCUAAUACCGGAUAAUAUUUUGAACCGCAUGGUUCAAAAGUGAAAGACGGUCUUGCUGUCACUUAUAGAUGGAUCCGCGCUGCAUUAGCUAGUUGGUAAGGUAACGGCUUACCAAGGCAACGAUGCAUAGCCGACCUGAGAGGGUGAUCGGCCACACUGGAACUGAGACGCGGUCCAGACUCCUACGGGAGGCAGCAGUAGGGAAUCUUCCGCAAUGGGCGAAAGCCUGACGGAGCAACGCCGCGUGAGUGAUGAAGGUCUUCGGAUCGUAAAACUCUGUUAUUAGGGAAGAACAUAUGUGUAAGUAACUGUGCACAUCUUGACGGUACCUAAUCAGAAAGCCACGGCUAACUACGUG
rnacentral:rRNA from 1 species